rnacentral:tRNA from 1 species
GCCGCCCUAGCUCAGUGGUAGAGCAGCCCCCUUGUAAGGGGCAGGUCGUCGGUUCGAGUCCGACGGGCGGCUCCA